UUCUCGCUUGUGCGCCCAUGUCGCCCUCUCGCACCGUAUCCGGGUCGACGACGAUGCCGCCGCCGCUGAAGCAGAGUAGAAGGACGCCGGUGCCACUCCCAACGCUGAAUCCACGCCCCGAUUUGGCUCUCAUGGUUAGGUUAGAUUUGUUUCAGAGGUCAGGGUGAGGGGAUGCAAUGCUUGCUGCGAUUCCCAUCUCUCCGAAUUCCAGAUGGAUUCAUAUAUGCAUAUUAUAAGCCUGCACCAUCCCUGUUGUUUGCUUUUCAUUGUUCCUUCUCCUCAUGAAGGCAUCUGCUGUUGUUAUUGCAGGGUAGUACAUAGAUGACAUGUCAUAUUCUUUAACCCGUGCUUAACUGAGAACCAAAACAAGCAACUGCUUGGUAUGAGAAUAAAGAAUUUCCAGUGAUUGCACAAGAGUUCCUCUAGGAAACUGACUGUUCAUUCCACAUCUUGGUUGAUUAAGCAAAUCCUUCCAAAGGUGCUUGAUGAAAUUCUGGUACGAGAUAUGGGUCCAUGGAGAACUCCUUCCUCGCCAUCGGCCUCCUCUCCGAUGCUCGGCUCCAGGUGCACUUGCCAUCCGUCAAACAAGCCUGCCAUCCAUCCAUCUUUCCUCGCUGUAUCGAACACCCCAUCUGCUCCCUUCCCUUCCUCCAUCGACGACGCCGCCCAUGCCUCCACCAUCCCCAACAGAUGCCCCUCCAGCACCAACGAGCUUCUUCCCCACCUCGAGCACCGCGGAGAUUCCUCCCCUCCCACAAAACCACCGGCGCCCUCCCAUGUCGAAUCAAGAACCAGGUUCCCAGUCAAAAAUCCCAGACCAAUCUACGGAUGGCGGCCGGGGCAGAAGUUUGGCCGCCAAAGGUGCAGCAUGGGUGUCCAGCAAGGAGGUGGAGACCAGCUGUUCCGAGGCCAAGGCGGUGGUUGAAGGUCAUCAUAUGUUCAUAGAAGAUCGGUUGUGGUGCUGGUAGCAUGAAUUGUACGAGUUGUCAGAGCCUUUCUCAGAAUCAUGGGGCACCACUCAUUUGAGCUAUGCUAUCAACACAGGUUUGCUUCUUUGAAUGGUGAUGAUGAUUGAUGUCCAAUUCAUACAGUUUCCACUAAAAAAUGUAGCCAGUCCAUGCCACGGGAUUGAGUUCAAUUCUAACCAUGACAUUCUUGCAAUCAAGUAUUUUAGAACGUUUAUAAACCAUCAAGUGGCUGGGCGGGCUUGUUUUGUCGCGGCUUUGGUAGGUUUACUAUGUCGAUGGAAUGGUUCUCUCAUUCUUAUGAGUAUUUACUAUGUCGCGGCUUUAGAAAAGAAUGUUCAUGGAUGCCUAUUCUAAGUGUAACCGCGAAGGAAAAAAAAACCUAUUACGUGCUAUCAGCCUUCCUGAUGACGACACUAUCUAUACACUAUUAGAUACUCUGCAAUAAUCUUUGCAACCUGUCUACGUUGCAACCUUAUGAAAAUGUUCUAAUAUAUCUGAAAUAUGAAAGUUCGAACCGCUCUAUAUGCUACUACCGAAUCUGUUGAUGGUCUUUUGUUUGGUCAAGCCACCAGUUAUUCCUAGGGUCAUAUCAUUGUUGUCAUUUUGAGCAGAUCCUUGCUGGGAGGUUGGUCAGAUAUCUCACCCUUGCAGAAUUUUUCAGCUGUACUUGCGCAAAAGAGAGGCCACCCCUGAUCAUAUUUAGAGGGGUAAUACUGUUCACGUUCUUGUCGAAAAUCAUGGUAACACGAUCAGUGCUUCGAAAAGAGAACACAGUAAUUGUCAAAUAAUCAUUUUUGGAACCAUGGUUAUCCUGAAAAGAUAUGAGUUAUCUUGUUAUUUUGCAGUCUUGCAGGCAACUCAAAGUGUAUGUACCUAUUUAUUUAUAGUCACACUCCGUAUGUUGUUUGUCUUCUGCGAAAUGGAAGUUGCAUCUCUACUGCAUCCAUUGUCACGUGUUUGGAGAAGUAAAUGUCUUGGUUGUGCAAAUUAUAGAAGGAAUAAGCUAUAUAAUCCGUCUAAUAUUGUCAGGAUUAAUUGGGUGAAAUGCAGGAACUAGAUGAUUGCGUGUCUAUGUAAUGGCGGAACGACAAUACAGGUGAAGCUGAGCUAAGUAGCUGUUGUUAAAGGAGAAGGAUGAUUAUGUGAGUAAGGGAGAGACUGUGUGAUGGUGUAAACAGUAGAGGUGAAGCUAAGCUAGCGUAGAAUUAUCUUAGGAUUUUAAAUAUUAUGCUUGCUUUUAAAUUUUAAGAUCUUCUAAUAUCUUUUUCAUGACUGUUUUUAAUUGAUUAUUUUGAAAUAUAAUCAUCGUUAUCUCAACAAAUUGCAUCAUGCAAAUUCUGUAAUGACGUAAGUCAUGUGUGGUGUGUGGAUGUUAAACUUGACGAAAUAUAGGACGAGAGAUAUUUUUUUAAUA